GACGAACGCUGGCGGCGUGCUUAACACAUGCAAGUCGAACGGAAAGGCCCUGCUUUUGUGGGGUGCUCGAGUGGCGAACGGGUGAGUAACACGUGAGUAACCUGCCCUUGACUUUGGGAUAACUUCAGGAAACUGGGGCUAAUACCGGAUAGGAGCUCCUGCUGCAUGGUGGGGGUUGGAAAGUUUCGGCGGUUGGGGAUGGACUCGCGGCUUAUCAGCUUGUUGGUGGGGUAGUGGCUUACCAAGGCUUUGACGGGUAGCCGGCCUGAGAGGGUGACCGGGCACAUUGGGACUGAGAUACGGCCCAGACUCCUACGGGAGGCAGCAGUGGGGAAUAUUGCACAAUGGGCGGAAGCCUGAUGCAGCGACGCCGCGUGCGGGAUGACGGCCUUCGGGUUGUAAACCGCUUUCGCCUGUGACGAAGCGUGAGUGACGGUAAUGGGUAAAGAAGCACCGGCUAACUACGUG
rnacentral:rRNA from 1 species